rnacentral:rRNA from 1 species
AGAGUUUGAUCCUGGCUCAGGAUGAACGCUAGCGACAGGCUUAACACAUGCAAGUCGAGGGGCAGCGAUAGGUGGCAACACCGAGUCGGCGACCGGCGCACGGGUGAGUAACGCGUAUGCAACCUGCCCAUCAGCGGGGGAUAACCCGUCGAAAGACGGACUAAUACCGCAUAAAACAGGGGUUCCGCAUGGAAAUAUUUGUUAAAGAUUUAUUGCUGAUGGAUGGGCAUGCGUUCUAUUAGGCAGUUGGCGGGGUAACGGCCCACCAAACCGACGAUAGAUAGGGGUUCUGAGAGGAAGGUCCCCCACAUUGGUACUGAGACACGGACCAAACUCCUACGGGAGGCAGCAGUGAGGAAUAUUGGUCAAUGGGCGCAAGCCUGAACCAGCCAAGUCGCGUGAAGGAAGACGGCCCUAUGGGUUGUAAACUUCUUUAGGGUGGGAACAAAGGACGCCACGAGUGGCGAGAUGAGUGUACCACCAGAAUAAGCAUCGGCUAACUCCGUGCCAGCAGCCGCGGUAAUACGGAGGAUGCGAGCGUUAUCCGGAUUUAUUGGGUUUAAAGGGUGCGUAGGCGGUUUGUCAAGUCAGCGGUCAAACUGCGGGGCUUAACCUCGUAUUGCCGUUGAAACUGGCUGACUAGCGUGGCGUCGAGGUGUGCGGAAUGCGUUGUGUAGCGGUGAAAUGCAUAGAUAUGACGCAGAACUCCGAUUGCGAAGGCAGCACACCGGGCGCCUACGGACGCUGAGGCACGAAAGCGUGGGUAUCGAACAGGAUUAGCUACCCUGGUAGUCCACGCAGUAAACGAUAAUAAUGGCUGUCCGGCAGCGAUGUUGGGCGGCGGAGCGAAAGCGUUAAGUAUCCACCUGGGAGUACGCCG